CCAAACAGGAUUCUAAGCUUUAGAGCUUACCUUAUCACAGAGAAAUAGAUUUGGUUAUGCAAACAUUCAUAGGAUGAAAAGCCAGUAAAGAGCAUACAUGAGCUCAAUUCUGAUAUGAAUAGCUUUACAUUAUUUAAUAGAGUUUUAUUUUAUUUCAUUUUAUAGUAAGCUCUAGAAAUUUGGAAAUGUUAAUAUAAAAGUUCAGAAAUUCACUGAAUUCUCCUUUGGCAAAGUUUUCUUAGCAUAAGAUAUAGUGAAUGGAAUAUUAGAAGAUGAAGAAGAGACAAUUACCCUGAAGGUUAAUCAACUUGCCAAAGAUGCUAUGCUUAUGGAGGUAAAGCCAAGGCCAUAAUUAUAAGUCACACACACACAUGUGUGUGUGUGUGUGUGAGAGAGAGAGAGAGAGAGAGAAAGAGAAAGAGAGAAGAAGAAGAACAAGAAGAACAAGAAGAACAAGAACAAGAACAAGAACAAGAAGAACAAGAACAAGAAGAACAAGAAGAACAAGAAGAGAGAGGAGGGGGCGAGAAAAGGAGAGAGAGAGCUUUUAUGAAAAAAGUCAUAUAUAUAACAUACCACCCUCAUCCUGGCAUGGGCAUUGUACCCCACAAAACCAUAGAAGUGUUCCAGGCAAAGUAAAGUGGGGGAAAUUCCUUUGCUCUCUUCUCCCUUGUGACUUUUAACCCAAAAACAUUUGAUAACUCCUAUAAGACCCUGAGAGGAUUAUCCUCCUUGGAUAGUCCUUUAGAUUUGCAAUGCACAGAGAGAUACACCUCUAGGCUACGCCUUGAUACCAUCAGGUUGUAUCUAAGACAUCUACCUUUUUUGUCUUCUAAACUAUGAGGGUCAUCCCUUCUGUCUCCAGGCAAAACUCCCCCCUGCCCAUGCCUAAGUGUGUACCACUCUAGAGUCACAUCUUCAGUGUUACACAAAGUUACAUCUCCACUGUAGUGAAGUGUAUAAAGACCCCAGAAAUCAUGUCAUCUGGGAGAACAACUUUCUCAUCCAUGCUGUUCCCUCUGGGAGGCAGUCUUUCACCUAUGCUGUCUUCCUGGCCAUAUUCAACAUUACUUUCUAAAUUAAUAAAUGUCUCUUUUUUAAAAAAAA